GCACGCGUAGCUCAAUUGGAUCAGAGCAUCAGCCUACGGAGCUGAGGGUUGCAGGUUCGAAUCCUGCCGUGUGCACCA
rnacentral:tRNA from 1 species